AAUACCCGGACCGAAGGCUCCUCCUCCCAAAUGGCCUGAGGUCCGACCGGCACUGACGCUUCGUCUCCUCCCAUUCAGGAGCGUCGGUCAAAAUAAGACGGCGGCACACCUCCCGUGCCGCCGUUCUUAU
rnacentral:sRNA from 17 species